GACGAACGCUGGCGGCGUGCUUAACACAUGCAAGUCGAACGGAAAGGCCCUGCUUUUGUGGGGUGCUCGAGUGGCGAACGGGUGAGUAACACGUGAGUAACCUGCCCUUGACUUUGGGAUAACUUCAGGAAAAUGGGGCUAAUAUCGGAGAGGAGCUCCUGCUGCAUGGGGGGGGAUGGAAAGAUUCGGCGGUUGGGGAUGUACUCGCGGGUUAUCAGCCUGUUUGUGGGGUAGUGGCUUACCAAGGCUUUGACGGGUAGGCCGCCUGAGAGGGUGACCAGCGACAUUGGGACUGAGAUAGGGACCAGACUCCUACGGGAGGCAGUAGUCGGGAAUAUUGCACAAUGGGGGGACGCCUGUUGUAGAAACGCUGCGUGCGGGAUGACCGCCUACGGGUUGUAAACCGCUUUCGACUGUGCCGAAGCGUGAGUGACGGUAAUGGGUAAAGAAGCACCGGCUAACUACGUG
rnacentral:rRNA from 1 species